rnacentral:rRNA from 1 species
CCUACGGGUGGCAGCAGUAGGGAAUCUUCCACAAUGGGCGAAAGCCUGAUGGAGCAACGCCGCGUGGGUGAAGAAGGCCUUCGGAUCGUAAAACCCUGUUGUUAGAGAAGAAAGUGCGUGAGAGUAACUGUUCACGGUUCGACGGUAUCUAACCAGAACGCCACGGCUAACUACGUGCCAGCAGCCGCGGUAAUAUGUAGGUGGCAAGCGUUAUCCGGAUUUAUGGGGCGUAAAGGGAACACAGGCGGUCUUUUAAGUCUGAUGUGAAAGCCUUCGGCUUAACCGGAGUAGUGCAUUGGAAACUGGGAGACUUGAGUGCAGAAGAGGAGAGUGGAACUCCAUGUGUAGCGGUGAAAUGCGUAGAUAUAUGGAAGAACACCGGUGGCGAAAGCGGCUCUCUGGUCUGUAACUGACGCUGAGGUUCGAAAGCGUGGGUAGCAAACAGGAUUAGAUACCCUAGUAGUC